GCAAGUCGAAUGGGUUUAGACCCAUGGCAGACGAGGUAGGAACACGUAGGUACAUACCCCAAAGUCAGGGAUAACCUGUCGAAAGGCAGAGUAAUACUUGAUAGUCUCUUCGGAGUAAAGAUUUAUCGCUUUGGGAAUGGCCUGCGGUCUAUCAGCUUGUUGGUAAGGUAACGGCUUACCAAGGCUACGACGGAUAGGGGAGGUGAGAGCCUGACC
rnacentral:rRNA from 1 species